GACGAACGCUGGCGGCGUGCUUAACACAUGCAAGUCGAACGGAAAGGCCCUGCUUUUGUGGGGUGCUCGAGUGGCGAACGGGUGAGUAACACGUGAGUAACCUGCCCUUGACUUUGGGAUAACUUCAGGAAACUGGGGCUAAUACCGGAUAGGAGCUCCUGCUGCCUGGUGGGGGUUGGAAAGUUUCGGCGGUUGGGGAUGGACUCGCGGCUUAUCAGCUCGUUGGUGGGGUAGUGGCUUACCAAGGCUUUGACGGGUAGCCGGCCUGAGAGGGUGACCAGCCACAUUGGGACUGAGAUACGGCCCAGACUCCUACGGGAGGCAGCAGUGGGGAAUAUUGCACAAUGGGCGGAAGCCUGAUGCAGCAACGCCGCGUGCGGGAUGACGGCCUUCGGGUUGUAAACCGCUUUCGCCUGUGACGAAGCGUGAGUGACGGUAAUGGGUAAAGAAGCACCGGCUAACUACGUG
rnacentral:rRNA from 1 species